GCCACACUUUGAGUCUUAGUUUUUAAUUAGGUUUUGACAAUUUUUACAAUUAGCAAUUAUAGGUUUUAUUUACUGUGUCGAAAGAGAGAAAUUAGACGAUAUGUCAUAUACAAACUGUUUGAAAAAAACUGAUGAGAUAAGCAUUUAGUUUAUAAUUGUUUUAGACUACAGCAAUAUGGCUCAUCAAGAAUGGAAGACAAAAUUCGACGACCAGUUCUAUGACCUGGAUGACCCGUGGAAUUUGGAAAUAGUAAGCAAUGUAGAGCAGGAAAGCGGAUGGCUAGAAAUGCGACGCAAAGGAAUGGCAAGGUUUGACUGUAUAGUACAUGCAGCAAUAGAUGGACGUCCGUUAACGGUGGAGCAAUAUUUCACUAUCGUCUUCCUCCUUCCCAAAAUGAACGACGUGGUAACGUGAAGCUGUUUCUAGGGGGACAAAAGUGCAAAAAUUGCAACGACGUAUUUGAAACUGCUAAGUGGGAGGAUUCAGACGUAGAACGUGUGGUCACAGAACUGCUGAAUAAAGUGCAACAAAAGUUCUAUGGUGAAAUUGAUGUUCCCACCACCAGUACAACCGAGAACAGAUAUAUCCCAGCAGAUAUGUCUGCUCCGCAUCAAAGGAAACUUUGUCAACUAUGUGCGCUGGGAGUGUGCCAGUAUAGUCAACAAAAUGAUAUCGACAGCAUCGCAAGCAAGAUA